UACGUAGGGUGCAAGCGUUGUCCGGAAUUAUUGGGCGUAAAGAGCUCGUAGGCGGUUAGUCACGUCGGCUGUGAAAACCUGGGGCUCAACUCCGGGCCUGCAGUGGAUACGGGCAGACUAGAGGCAGGCAGGGGAGAACGGAAUUCCCGGUGUAGCGGUGAAAUGCGCAGAUAUCGGGAGGAACACCGGUGGCGAAGGCAGCCCCCUGGGCUAACACUGACGCUCAGGCACGAAAGCGUGGGGAGCAAACAGG
rnacentral:rRNA from 1 species